rnacentral:rRNA from 1 species
AACGUAGGUUCCGAGCGUUAUCCGGAUUUACGUGGGCGUAAAGCGCGUUCAGGCGGUUUGGCAAGUCGGGCAUGAAAUCUCUCGGCUCAACCGGGAGAGGUUGUCCGAUACUUCCAGACUUGAGGGCAGGUAGAGGGUGGUGGAAUUCCGGGUGUAGUGGUGAAAUGCGUAGAGAUCCGGAGGAACACCAGUGGCGAAGGCGACACGCUGGGCCGUACCUGACACUGAUGCGCGACAGCAUGGGGAGCAAACAGG